rnacentral:rRNA from 1 species
GCCUCGUGAAUUCAUCUCCGGGGGUAGAGCACUGUUUCGGCUAGGGGGCCAUCCCGGCUUACCAACCCGAUGCAAACUGCGAAUACCGGAGAAUGUUAUCACGGGAGACACACGGCGGGUGCUAACGUCCGUCGUGAAGAGGGAAACAACCCAGACCGCCAGCUAAGGUCCCAAAGUCAUGGUUAAGUGGGAAACGAUGUGGGAAGGCCCAGACAGCCAGGAUGUUGGCUUAGAAGCAGCCAUCAUUUAAAGAAAGCGUAAUAGCUCACUGGUCGAGUCGGCCUGCGCGGAAGAUGUAACGGGGCUAAACC